ensembl:lncRNA
AAAUGCUGAGUUGGUCGUUUUCUACAUAUUGGAGGAAAUAAAAAAAAAAAAAUGAAAUGAAUUUUUUAUUUUAAAUAAAUAAAUAAAUUUCCAACUGUACACUAUUUAUCUCUCUCUCUCUUCGCCCUGCGGUCUAACAUCUUUUUUUUUUUUUGCAGAUGAUGUGCCAGAUUGUGUGCCACACACGUUUAUCAAUGGACUCAUUCAUCAGGUGUGAUGGCUCCUCAAAGCAGGGUUUUGCUGAAGUUGGCUUUCACUCUCUAUACCUGAAGGAUUAACCGAGGAAAUCCUAAGAUUUGUGACAAAGCUCCCAUCUCAACUUUAGAGCAACGAUAGACUUUUCAUGCAAUGACAUGAACCAGAGAGCACCACGUUUACAAGCCGCAAAUCUGAAGUGAGGUCACUGUAAACCAGCAGAGAAUGACAACCUGGUGCUCAGUCUCCACCUAAAAUACUGCGUCUUCAAAGGUGGUCGCCCAGGCCACCUGAAACACCACACUCUCCGCCUCCCCGCAGG